GGUUCCCCAAACAGAGGUCACCCCAGCUGCUCAGGGCUUUUAGAGUGAAAAUCUAGCAGUUGCAUAUAUUUGUAUUAAAUGAGUACAGCUGGUUUUACUUCUGAUAAAAAACCUUGCUGGAUCACAACAGCAGCAUCAGGACAAUAAAUGAUAGUGCAUGAGCUAGCCAGGGGCCCAAGUGACCAACACCACUGAACAGGAACGAUUGCAAGAAUUGGAUGCUGCCACAAGACCCUGCAGUCUGGCACUGAAUGGAGUUCCAGACCUGAAUUCUGGAUUUAACUGAAGCUCAGAUGCAAACUUUCUGUGACUUCAAAUCAAGCUCACUAGCUUGCGACUGGAAAAUCUCCUUUGCAGCAUCACACCCUGAGCCUCCUACGUACGUCGGAA